CCUACGGGAGGCAGCAGUAGGGAAUCUUUCACAAUGGGCGAAAGCCUGAAGGAGCAACGCCGCGUGCAGGAUGAAGGCCUUCGGGUUGUAAACUGCUUUUAUAAGCGAGACAUAUGAUGGUAACUUAUGCAUACGGAUCGGCUAACUACGUGCCAGCAGCCGUGGUCAUACGUAGGAUCCGAGCAUUAUCCGGAGUGACUGGGUGUAAAGAGUUGCGUUGGUGGCGAAAUAAUUAGCUAGGGAAAGUUGGUGACUCAACCAUUCAGAGUAUUAGCUAAACUGGUAAGCUCGAGACAGUUAGGGGUAAGUGGAAUUUGUGGUGUAGGAGUGAAAUCCGUAGAUAUUA
rnacentral:rRNA from 1 species